rnacentral:lncRNA from 1 species
CUCAAUGAAAUCAAACAGGGGACUAUCACGGCUGCCUGCCUCCUCUUCCAGCAGCUUGCUGGCUACUCGGAUCAUCAUGCAGUAAGCAAAUGGUGACUUGAGGCCAUGGCGUGUGAACUUGCUGAGCAUCUUGUUGACUGCCAGGCGAUCAUUCUUCCGCACAUGGUAGAGCAAGCCCAGAGCAUGAUACUGUACCAUGAUAUUGUCACUGGAAGCUGCCUCCUGAGCCUCGUUCACCCAGCGUUUUACCACGUCAAAACUGGUCUUCAGCAGGUGCAAGGAGGACACCAGAGCAGAGCUGGACACACUUGGCACUUUGUCAACAAUGGCCUGCUUCAUGUAGCGCUCAAUGGCCUGUAGCAUGGUGCUAUCAGUGAUUUGACAGAGCGCUCUCACAGCAGGACCUCGGUAAUUGUCAUCCUUCCCAGUCAUGUCUUUGGUUAAGCUGCUGGUAACAAUGAUUACAUCUUCUGCAAUAGAAGACAUCUCUUUGAUAGUCAGGUAACACAUCCUGCGAAGAGUUGGAUCAUUGGACUGAAACAGCUUUGUCAUGGCAAAGAAGGAUUCGGUAGCUUCCAUGACACCAAGGUGCUCCCCCUGGUUUAUGAGGUACAGAAUCUUGGUGAGGAUGUGAGCACAUUUCCGUGGGUUUAUGGGAGUCUCAUUAAACACGCGUGCCUCUUGCAAGACUGCACUCUUCUCCAGGUGCUGGAAUGGGUUGGAACCCCCACCCGACUCCUCGUCCUUCUUGUCGAAUUUCUUCAGCAUGGCGCCGCCGGCGGCUCAGAGAGGCCCCUCCGUGAACCGAGCCGAGCCCGUCCCGUCCCGCUGCCGCCGCCCGCCCCUUCCUGCCAGCCUGUCACUGCCGCCGCCGCACCGCGCAGGCGCGGGCCGACCCGCC